AAUGCUACACUGGCUCCCCACUCCUGUCAGCCCAUACUUUGCUCAUUUCUGGCUCUGCUUGAUUUUAUCUUUUUCUACAGAUGGACUUCCACUCAUGAUGGAAAAGAUGGCCACCUGUCCCACCCUCUCACUCACCCACAUACCUUCAAAUGCCUGUGGCAUCUGACUCCAGAGGCAACAUAGUUUCUUCUUAGGCUGCCAAUCAAGCUAUCCCAGGGAAGGACUGCCAGGACCCGAGAAAGAUGUUGGGAAAUCUUGCAGGGCAGACAAAUAACAAUGCUGUUUCCUGCUACCAGUUGAACCAACAUGGCUCUCUGAGACAGCCUGAGACAAGAGUUUGUCCUAGAUCCUGCUCUCCUAGCCCAGUUCCAUCAAGAUCUGCCUCCAGCUAUGCCUUCCCAUUUCCUGCCAGUACCUAUUAGCCAGAUCUUGUGGCAACAAAAGGAAGCAGGAGGAGAUCCAGAGGAGAACAUUCAUCUGUGAGGCAAGAGCCUCAAGUAAGGCCUCUGAAGAGUCUCCAGGAGAGAAGAGGCUCCCCUCCUCCAACAUGGAAUUUUGGGCUACUUCCACCAACCUGGAGACCUCAAGGGAAUCAGGGGGCCAAAUUUCUCUAGUUCAUCCAAACCGGUGUUCCCUUUCCAUUUUCCAGGGGCUCUGACUCUGGCAUUUACUCUCUGUUGUGGCUCUGUAUCCUUAUAAUUAAAUCCCU
rnacentral:lncRNA from 1 species